ACAGACAGAGCUCCAGCUGAUGUCCAGCUGCCUGCAGAAAUGAAGGCAGACACUGCGCUGGAGGAACGGGGUGAAACUGCAGCUUGUUCCUCUCAGGGCAGAGUCCUGCUGCUCCCAAAGCUGCUCUGCCAACACCCACGUCCAGGGCUGGUGAGAAAUGUGCUGUUUAUCCUGUUGUGGUGAGGAGAGCAUCCCACGGACACCCAGCCCUGAGUCUCUGCUGCUGGCUCUGCACGUGGAGCUGCUGUGGAGCUUUUGCUCUUCAAUCCUCAGCAGCAGCUUGGUCGAACCCAUGCAGUGGGAGAAAAAGCCAUGGAUGAUUCCUGAGUCCCACCAGGACCCUGCCCUGGCCACAUCAGAGAGGACACAGCUCUGCAGGUGAGGCAGGAAUUCCUCUGUGCCCACAGCAAACGGACAAUUUUAUAAAAUCCAUCAUCUCUGGUGAGUGCCACUUGUUCCAUGUUCAACUUGCAGUGCUGGUGGUUGUUGGCAGGUUUUUGCAGGAGCAGUUGUGUCACCUCAGCCUGUGCUCUCUGGAGGUUUCACCCACUUAUAAGCAUCAAAUAUUUUAUUUCAGAGUGAGGAAUAAUCAAUACUGCGCCUUCUUCCCUUCCUGGAGGUGCAGAGUGAAGUCAGUCAAGGACAAAUGGCACCACAGUGUUCCUCCCAGUCACAGCACAGCCAAACCCUGGGGCAGGAGGCAAAGUGCAGCACAAAUUCCAUCUUUUAACAAAUUCCAUCUUUUAACAGCGUGGUGAAUAAAACUGGGGAGUGCAGACUUCUCCCUCUCCUGCAGCAGAGGUUACAGCAAGUGCCCAGGGUUUCUGAUGGUGCCACCAAGCUGCGAGCUGCUUUGGUUGAAAUCCCCAGUUCCCACUGGGAUUUUGCUGGGGAAACAUCCACCUUGGUACCCAAAUCCUGGUUGCUUCAGCAGGCAGUGCUCAGCUCUGAGAAGAUGCACCCAAGAUUGCCCCAGGAUUCAGCAAACCCAGAUGAAUCCCCAGCCCUGCUCUGUGGCUACCAGCCUGUUGAAGGACACCCUCUUCAAACUCAAAGAACAACUUGUGACAAACACUCCACCAAAAACUGGCUGAUACCUGCUUGGCUCCUAAUCCUCCCUGAGCUGUUUCCCCGUUGCCAAUCUCUCCCAGGAACCAUUAAUAAAUCUUCCCUGGUUUGCAACACUAAUUCUGGACAAAGGCACCAGGAACCAGCAGUGCCUGGGCCCGUGCCCCUGUUUGUUUGGAAGAUUGUUUGGCUUUUAAUGAGGCUAAUUAAAAAGAAACAAAAAAAUAAUAAAUCAAUCCCAUUAAUCUGUAAUAAACUGAAGUGCUCCAGUCCUUCCCAAAGCAGUUGGGACUGCCAGCUCCCAGCUGGCUGCAAUGCAAAAUUGCUGUUGGUGUUAUUUAGAACAACUCAGUGGUGCUCCAUAACACCACAGUGAUGUUUCCAUAUUGCCAGAGUGAUGGUUCCAUAAUUCCAGUGUCCUGUUGGAGCAGGGGGAUCCUGCUGGAGCUUGUCCCACACGCAUUCCUGGGCAUCUCCUCGUGUUCUGCUUCCUUGGCUUGUGGCUCCUCCUGCUCAGCCUGGGUCCCUGGGCUCCAGGCCACUGACAGCUCCAGCGGAACCAAAUUACCAUUUGGAAUUACCAUGAGAUAAUUUGCCUCAUUUACUAUUUAAAGACAGGGGGGAAAAAAAAGCUCCUUCUUCCAGACAACUGCAGUGGAGAAAUGUUCAGGCGUAGAUGAUGUCCCAAAACAUGUAAUUAAAGCUUUAAAUAAAUGUAUGAUGACAUCUCAGAGUAAGAAAUACUUCCUUUGUAUUUCAGAUAGGAGCCAGCCAGGGCCUUUUCAAAGUCAUUUUUUAAUAAACAACGGAUAUUCCUCUUGUUUUUCCAGACACACAGCUUACAAUAUUUGGAGUUUUAAGUAUGUAAUUUAAAUUCUUUCACACAGUAUGGAUUUAAAACCCAUCUUCCUUAGAGAUGCCUUUGGCUUGCCAAAAGGUAAAUGCCUCUGUCUGCUGCUUUUUGUCUUUUUAACUUGAAAUGCUGCAGAGCUGCCUGGUCCCACCCUGCAGAUUGUCAUGUUUGCAAAAGGGAGCAGGUGAGAAUUAUCCCUUUCUCACUGCCCUUAAUUAGGAGGAUUAAACACCAAGGCAGCUACACAGCAUCACAAAGGAGAGGAAAAGAUCAGCUGGGGGAGCCAAGUUCUGCAUUUGCUGCUUCACUGACAAGGGCACAGACGUGCCAGGAGCAAUCCUGCAGCUCUGCUCCUGCU